AGAGUGAACGCUGGCGGCAGGCCUAACACAUGCAAGUCGAACGGCAGCACAGAGGAGCUUGCUCCUUGGGUGGCGAGUGGCGGACGGGUGAGGAAUACGUCGGAAUCUGCCUAUUUGUGGGGGAUAACGUAGGGAAACUUACGCUAAUACCGCAUACGACCUACGGGUGAAAGCGGAGGACCUUCGGGCUUCGCGCAGAUAGAUGAGCCGACGUCGGAUUAGCUAGUUGGUGGGGUAAUGGCUCACCAAAGGCGACGAUCGGUAGCUGGUCUGAGAGGAUGAUCAGCCACACUGGGACUGAGACACGGCCCAGACUCCUACGGGAGGCAGCAGUGGGGAAUUUUGGACAAUGGGGGCAACCCUGAUCCAGCCAUGCCGCGUGCGGGAAGAAGGCCUUCGGUGUAACCCGCUUUAGUCGGAAGAAAGAUCACGGAUAACACCCGUGUUCUGACGGUACCGGCGAAUAAGCACCGGCUAACACGUGCCAGCAGCCGCGGUAAUC
rnacentral:rRNA from 1 species